rnacentral:RNase_P_RNA from 1 species
GAAGUAGCGCAGACCGUCGCGUCUACCUCGGUAGAUGAGGAAAGUCCGGGCACCAUAGGGCUGGUUGCUGGGUAACUCCCAGUGCGCGUGAGCGUGAGGAUAGUGCCACAGAAAUGAUGACCGCCAGGCUCGUUCCUGGUAAGGGUGCAACGGUGCGGUAAGAGCGUCACCAGCAAGAUCGAGAGGUCUUGGCUAGGUAAACCCCGCUGAAGGUGCAAGGCUACGGUAUAUUCCGAACAAGCGGUGGCCCGCCGCCUCGGAAUGCCAAUGCUGCUAGAGGGUACGGGUAACCGUACUCCCAGAGAGAUGACGGCCUAGAACAGAACCCGGCUUACGCGCUACUUCUAUA